rnacentral:rRNA from 1 species
AAUCUUCCGCAAUGGACGAAAGUCUGACGGAGCAACGCCGCGUGAGUGAUGAAGGUCUUCGGACCGUUAAACCCUGUUGUGAGGGAAGAACAAGUAUCGCUCGAAUAGGGCGGUACUCUGACGGUACCUAACCAGACAGCCACGGCUAACCACGUGCGACCAGCCGCGGGAAUCCGUAGGUGGCAAGCGUUACCCGGAAUUAUUGGGCGUAAAGCGAGCGCAGGCGGUUUCGUAAGGCUGAUGUGAAAGCCCACGGCUCAACCGUGGAGGGUCAUUGGAAACUGGGAAGCUUGAGUGCAGAAGAGGAGAGUGGAAUUCCAUGUGUAGCGGUGAAAUGCGUAGGGAUAUGGAGGAACACCAGUGGCGAAGGCGACUCUCUGGUCUGCAACUGACGCUGAGGCGCGAAAGCGUGGGGAGCGAACA